rnacentral:piRNA from 1 species
AUUGUAAUGAGGGGCCCAUCAGU